rnacentral:rRNA from 1 species
GAUGAACGCUGGCGGCGUGCCUAAUACAUGCAAGUCGAGCGAACAGAUGAGGAGCUUGCUCCUCUGACGUUAGCGGCGGACGGGUGAGUAACACGUGGAUAACCUACCUAUAAGACUGGGAUAACUUCGGGAAACCGGAGCUAAUACCGGAUAAUAUAUUGAACCGCAUGGUUCAAUAGUGAAAGACGGUUUUGCUGUCACUUAUAGAUGGAUCCGCGCCGCAUUAGCUAGUUGGUAAGGUAACGGCUUACCAAGGCAACGAUGCGUAGCCGACCUGAGAGGUGGACCGGCCACACGGUAACUGACACCGGGACCAGACACCUACGGGAGGAACCGUGGGGGAAUCUUCCGAAAGGGGCUGAGGCCGAACGGAACAACCCCGCGUGAGUAAUAAAGGUCUUCGGUCCGUAAAACUGUUUUAUGAGGAAAAAAAAAAUUGGUAAUAAACACGGCACUUCUGGCCGAUACCUAAUAAGAAAACCACCGCAACCUCCGCC